CAUGCACUGGUGGGGUCCCUUGGCCUGGCCUGUGCCCUCUCGCAAUCUGGGACUCCUCAGGGGAUGUUGGAGAGCUGGUUUCGGCCCAAUCCCGCAGGCCAGGCCAAGGGACCCCACUGGUGCACG
rnacentral:pre_miRNA from 1 species